UGAAGUAUAUUAUACUAGUAUUUUUAUUUUAAAUUUAUUUUAUUUGUAUGUUUAGAUGUUGUUUUCUUGUUGUAGAGCACAAACUUCCUCUCUCAAAUACAAGAUUCUCCACCACUAAGGACAAUUAGAAGGAUUUUGAUUGAGUUGGUGAAGCGAUUCAAAUUUAUUUAAUUUGUAUUAAAUCAGUUGAAUUAAUAUAAAAUUUACAAUCGAUUAAACUCAGAGCCGCUUCUAAUUUUUAACAUGUUCAUCAAAAUCGAAGCUAUCACCGGUGAAAUAAGACUAUGAUGAAGUAAAACAAUUCAUAAAGUUCCAUCACAAUUCAAAAAAACCAUGUAACAAUCUUCUCAGAAAAAAAAAAAAAAAAACAUGUAAUAAUCACACAAAAUGACCAUCAAACAUCAAUUAAUCCAAAAACUUUGUACCAAAUGAUAGACACAUGAACCUUCUCAAGAACAAAGAAAGAAUUUGGGUGUAAUAAAUGAGUUCGUGCCAUGAAACUUGAGCAAUUUCUUUUCGAC
rnacentral:lncRNA from 1 species